rnacentral:rRNA from 1 species
UACAGAGGGUGCGAGCGUUGUUCGGAAUUACUGGGCGUAAAGCGCGCGCAGGCGGCUUCUUAAGUCCAUCGGUGAAAUCUCAGGGCUCAACCCUGAAACUGCAUUCGAUACUGCGUGGCUAGAGUGCUGGAGGGAGACUGGAAUUUACGGUGUAGCAGUGAAAUGCGUAGAUAUCGUAAGGAAGACCAGUGGCGAAGGCGAGUCUCGUG